CUCUGCGUGGAGAUCAGCCUAGUCUCACUCAUGCCCUCUCCCUCUAGUGUGGGAAAACAAGAGGAACCUCCAAAAUUUCCUAGCUGCACAAAGAAAUUGGUGGAAAUUCACUUCAUUUUGAAGCUCGGGGUUUCUAUGUGGUUGAUUUAAUCAAAAUAUUAAUGUGAUUUUUCUAGAAGAAGAAAAAGGGAAAAUAUAAAAAUCAUGCUGAUUGGAUUUGAAUAGAUUGUAUUGAUCAUAUAUGAAUAUUAUCUUUCAUCCAGAUUGGAAAGUACUGUUUUGAAAUCCAGUCCUUCACACUUCCAAACUGAUCAUUUUUAAUAAGUAAAUGUCAUUUUGGCUUUUUUUUUUUUUUUCUGGUCAGGAAGAAAAACAAGAAGUUUCCUUCCGCAAACUUCCUAAAAGGUGCCAUGUGUUUUCCUAAAACCAAGGAAAAUUCUAAAAUAGAACUACCAUAUGAUUCAGCAAUCCCACUUCUCUAAAUCUCCAGAAUCUCCAGGGAUUGGAACCAAGUGCUUUAUCUUUACCAUAUACCAAUCCAUGAAUCAACUCCAAAACAGAUCUCUAGAAACAGACAAGACUGACUACUGCCUGAAGGUUUCUGACACCAAGUUCCUGAGAUUGUUAUCUGGGAGAGAAUCAUUUGCAAGAAAAGAAUAACUUAUCAGAAAGGAGAAACUGCACAGAAGAUCCAAAGGCUCAACUGUUCCCAUGUGUACUGGGCUUCUGACUCAUUCUGGUUCUCAGGAAAGAGAGGCAAACCUCUGUUUCACAGCAAUUUUCAGAGGGAUUUGGGGGCUCUCGGGCUGCUAUGAGCCAGUGGCUGCUGUGUGCAUGCAGGAGGAGGUCAUCUUGCAGAGGAGUAGAGAUGUUAGCUUUGCAGGGAAAUAAAGAAAGAUAAAGAAGGAGUUAGUCUGCCUUGUGUAUGUCAUUUAUCCCUUCCUUAGAUUGGCAAACAAUUUUCUUUCAAGUAAAGGGAAAUAAUACAUUUCAACAUUGUCAAACAUAUUUAUCAACAUAAUUAUAUGCAAUCUGAGUCUUUCAUAAUGAUUUUCCUUUCUCCAGGCAUUGGCAAACAUAGAUAAUCAAUGUUACCCAGUGACUACAAAUAGUUUUCUCAAAAGGCUGUCUUCCCUUUUCAACAGACAGAUUGUCAAACUACCAAACAGUAAUGCUCAGUGUAGCAAAAAUAUCACUUAAUUGACUAAUUGCAGAUUAACACUUCCUAGGCAUCAGUAAUGUUAGAAAGCUUUAAUGGCUGUAGUAGUUUAUUUUCCUUAAAGACAAAGAAUAGCCCAGGAUCCAUUAAAGAAGUCACUUGCUUAUAUAACACCACUUAGCAGAUAUUUUCUCUUUCUUCAUGCAAACUUGGGAUUCUUAGUACCAAGCAGAUGUCUUGGGGACAAAGGCAGUAAUGUGAAAUAUUAUUACAUUUCUUCAAAGCAAAACAGAAGGAAACUUGAGGAAUAAGAAUAUGCACAUUUAUAGUAAAAUAAUUAAGAAAUGAGUAGAAGGGUGAUGAUUUACAAAAGUAUAAAAUAAGUAUUAAGAUUCCAGUAAUUCAUAAAUAAUGAAGAUAAUAUAGGGAGUCUGGCUAGAGUACAGACCAUUUAAAAGUUCCUGGUUUCUUUCAAGAUUAAAUAACUUCUCAGAAAUCAGUAUGCAGUUCUGAUGCUUUUCCCCCAUACCACAAUACACCCACCACUUCAUUAUUUAUAGAGACCUAGGUCGUAUGACUGAAGAUGACUCUGUUCCCAGAGCUGAAACUUCUGGGGAUGACUGAUCAAUUCCAUUAUUUCUAAUACUCUAAACCACAUACUCUAACCUAGCAUUAGUUUGAUCCCAGACUCCAGGGGUUCCUAGGGUUCUUUUGAAAGAAGGGUAGAGUGGCUGGUGGAGAAAGCUUGAUUUCCAUCCAAUGGGAACAUUUUUAUUUAUAUUAUUAAAAUCUACACAUUAAACUUAUGAAAUUGAAGGUGACGUCAAACUAAGGUGAGCUGAUAAAUCUUGAGGGAAAAGCGUACAUUGUCAGAGAUUUUACUCUUAUAAUGCAAAGCUCUUUAGUGCUUAAGAGCAUUAGUGUUGUCAUAAGAAAACCUUGGUCAUGGCUUUGACAUUUACCAGCUGUAUGACCUCAAACAAGUUAUUUAAUUUUUGUCUCAGUUUCUUCUUCUGCAAAUGGGAAUAAUAAUUCACAGGACAUUUUGUGAUGAUUACAUAAAGCGAUGAUCACAAUGCCUGCCAUACUUCACAUAUUCAAAAAUAGUAACUAUAAUAAUAUUUUAAUAAUAAUAAUGAUGAUGAUUUUUAAGGACUUUAAGGAAUUAUACAGGAAUGUUUCUCCCUAUACGACUAGCUCAGUAUGAUUCUUGGGGCAGUAAUUAGAAGAUCAUUUUAGCUGGAAACUACAUGAUCUUCUGCUUCUGACAACGUUUUUCUCAUCACUGCUUUGCUUUACAUUUCUAACUCUGCCUUCAUUAGGUACUUGCCUACUGAAGACGCUAUUUCUUAAAUAACAGAUGAACUUGAAGAAUAAUGAUCAACCUUAUUUAAUAAUUUACUCAGUUUUCUCCUCAAUUUUGCUUCCACCUAAAUUCAUGGCCCUCAUUUCCCCACGAUACAUUUAAUUGUAAAGGUUUCUCCAACCUCUGUUGGACUGCACGAUCACAAUCCAAUAAAUGGAAAAUAAAUUUAAUCAGUCAACAAGUGACCUUUACUGUAUGUCCCAGCCACUGUUCUAAGGACUGAGGAAGGCUCAGUGACAAGACAAGACAAGCUUUCCCUCUCUGACGUCCCUCAUGAAGAAUGAUUGCGAUUUUCAAAGGGAGCUUCUUUAUAGUUGUCAACUGUAGUCAAGUAUGCUUUGAAUGAAGAUUUUAGAUUCACUUUUCAUUAUUUCCUCUCUGGUGCAACAUGUAUUUACCUUCAGAAGAUUUUUAAUGAUAGCCUUUUCCAGAAGAUCCUUGUUAAUAUUUCUCCAAAGAUGGAGUUUACACAUAGAAGUACAUGCUUAGACCCACCCAAGAACCAAUAAAGUAAAACAAGAAAAAAAAAACUAUGCAGAAUCACAACCAUUAAAAUGUUCACCUAAAACCAGACUUAACUGAAAAGGUAUAUUUUCUACCAUAUGGAUAAUGGAAUUUUGCACAAAAGUGCAAAGUUUACUGCUGGGGAGUAAAGGUAAAGAGUCUAAGGGAAAGAUUCAGGAGGUAUAAAGCCCUUCCUUAGGAAACUUAAAGGAAGUGCUUGAGAACCAAUGAUUUAAUAAAAUCAAGCAUAUCAGCACAUUCAAAAGAAUAAAGUUAAAUGAAAUGAGAAAGAGAAGAAGGUCUAUGUCAAAUACCGUAUUCAUUUAUAUGGUAACUGAGAAAUUUAUCUCCAUUGAGAAAUUUAAUGUCCUGAAAAUCAGGCGCUCUCACUAUUCUAAUUUUCUUAAUAUUAAUUUAGUUUGGUCAAAAAUUUAGGUCAAAAAAACUUGUCAAAAGAAUUUACAAUCAGACGAUGAGGAUUUUUUAGUUAGCCUCAAAGCAAAGAAUGCUGUCUUUGACUGUGCAAACUGCGUGGGAAGGUAGUCAUGGAUUGAGUCACAGCUGAACCUUGGACAUUCAGUGGGCAUUGUGACACAACUGGAUACUAAAAUGAUUACAUAAAGGAGGUGGAAAAUACAGCAAUGGCCCAUGAAGAAAAGGGAAACAGAAAACACUUUAUUUUUGAAAAUCUGUUAGCAUGUUAUUUGCAGCAAAAAUUAUCACCCACUGAUUAUUUUAGUAUAAUGAGGAUGCUAAGGUUGAAGUUAUCAAGAUCAAUAAAUACAGAUUGAAAAAAUAAUUAUAUUCUCCCAAUUUUGCCCAGUAUCUUCAGUCAAGCAAGUAAUAGGGAAAAAAGAAGAAAUACCAAAUAUUUUCUUAUAUUCUUCUUAUCUGACCUGUUUUAAAAUUAAGGUGAAAUAGAUCUCUAGCCAUAGGAUCUUUAGAACUAAAUGAGCUUAAGUGCCACAGCUAUGUCAUAUUAUCUUGAAGGGAAAGGUAAUUAUUUUUGUGACAGGCCCAUUUCUUAUUAUCACUAAUAAUCUAAAAUUAUAUAUUUUGUCAUGUAAUUAUUAUCUACCAUAAACAGCCAGUAGUGUGUUAAACUGAUACUGGGAACUCCUUGUUAUGCUCCAACUCCAAGGGCAAAUAGUCUUGAAUUACAUUCAUACUGUUUAUUUUAUUCAUUAUUCAAUUGUUUGUUCAAUGUUCCAAAAUGAAAGAUCUCACAGAACUUCUAAAAAAAGCACUGCCUUUCAAGAAAUUAUGCAAUAGGUAUUUGAGCCAAUCAUGUCUGUAUUAUUUGAUGCAUACUGACUUUACCUGGGUAUUUUUUACACUCUCUAAGCAUAGAUUACUCGUUAGUAAAAUGAUGAUAAACAUAGUAUGAAUGUCACACAACUGUUGCAACGACAUCACACAAUUGUUGCAAAAAUUAUUGAAUAAAAAGUACUUAGCAAAAAAGCUCAGCCAAUGUUAAGUUUCAUGAAUCAAUUUGAUCCCAGUAAAAACCCAGCACACUAUGUGUAUAUGCGUGUGUGUAUGAAUGUGUGUGUGUGUGUGUGUGUGUAUGUGAUGUGUAAACUAACAAGGUGAUGUAAGGAAAUUUAAAGGACCUAGAUUAACCAAGAUUAUUUUGAAGAAGAGCAAAGUUGAAAGAUCUAUACUACCACACAGUGAUUUAGUAUAACACUAAAUAGUAAAUAACUAAAUAGUAAAACACUAAAUAGUAAAUAAAUUAUGGUAUUGGCUCAAGAUACAGAAAUAAACAAAAGAAGACAAUAGAGUCUAGAAAUAGAUGCCCACACAUAUUGUCACCUGAUUAAUAACAAAGAUGUCACUACAAUUCAGUUGUGGAAAAGAUGGCCUUUUAUACAAAUGAUGCUAGGAUAAUUUGAAAAAGUGAAUCUUGAGGCCCUAACUCUCAUCAUACACAAAAAUAUUCAAGAUUAAUCAUAGAUUUAAAUGUAACAAAAUAAUAACAUUUCUAAGAGAAGACAUAGCACAAUAUCUUCAUGACAUUGGAGUAAACAGCUUGCAACUAACCCUAAAAGGAAAAAAAUAAUAAUAAUUGGAUUUUAUUAAAAUUAAGAAUUUCUUCUCAUCAGAAGAUCAUUAAGAAAGCAAGAAGAUAAUUCAAAGACUGAGAAAAAUACACUUCCAAUGUAUGUAUCUAAUAAAUGACUUAUAUCCAGAAUAAAUAAAGAAAUUCCACCAUAAAAAAGUAAAAACAAAUUCAAUUAAAACUAGGCAAAAACGCGAAUGGCACUUCAAAAUACAGGAUAUCCAAAUGGCUUUUGAGCAUAACAUAUUUAUUCAACAGAAGAGAACAAAUUAAAACCUCAGCCUGUACCUUUCCUACCACCAAAAUGGCUAGUACUAACAAGUCUAAUGGUACCAAGCAGCAAGGACAUGAAGCUACCGGAGUUCUAUUACAUCGUUGGUUGAAGUGCGAAUUGAUACAGGCAGACUGAAAAAAUAUUUGGAAUUAUCUACUAAAGCUAACUAAAUGUAUGCCUACCAUAUGAUUCAUCAAUACCGCUCUUAGGUACAGAGCCAAGAAAAGAAUGUGUUAAUAUCCGUAAGUAAAUAAAAAUAUCCAAAACAGUUUUUUUCAAGUAAUGGCAAUUUUGUAUAAGAACGUCCUUUUUUGCACCACUGCACUCCAGCCUGGGCAACAGAGCGAGACUCCGCCUCAAAAAAAAACAAAAAAGGUCCUUUUUUAAAAUAAAUCCAAAUACUGAAAACAAUCAAAUAUCCAUUGACAAUAGCAUCUAUGUAAUUCAUUGUAUGUUCAUAAAAUAUAAUAUGAAACAAUAAUAAAAAUUAUAAAAUACUGGCCA
rnacentral:lncRNA from 1 species